CCUACGGGAGGCAGCAGUGAGGAAUAUUGGUCAAUGGACGAGAGUCUGAACCAGCCAAGUAGCGUGAAGGAUGACUGCCCUAUGGGUUGUAAACUUCUUUUAUAAAGGAAUAAAAUGAGGCACGUGUGCCUUUUUGCAUGUACUUUAUGAAUAAGGAUCGGCUAACUCCGUGCCAGCAGCCGCGGUAAUACGGAGGAUCCGAGCGUUAUCCGGAUUUAUUGGGUUUAAAGGGAGCGUAGAUGGGUUGUUAAGUCAGUUGUGAAAGUUUGCGGCUCAACCGUAAAAUUGCAAUUGAUACUGGCAGUCUUGAGUACAGUAGAGGUAGGCGGAAUUCGUGGUGUAGCGGUGAAAUGCUUAGAUAUCACGAAGAACCCCGAUUGCGAAGGCAGCUCACUAAACUGUGACUGACAUUGAUGCUCGAAAGUGUGGGUAUCAAACAGGAUUAGAUACCCCGGUAGUC
rnacentral:rRNA from 1 species